ACUGAACCACAAGGAGCAGUCCUUUCCCUGCCUCCUGGGGCUGACUGCAUGUGACCUCAUUGUUUGCCUCCUAAGCCUCAUGACUUGAUUUAUUCUGGGUGAUUCUCUUUCCUAACAAUUCCCUAGCAUCCAAUUCCAGGAAAAUCCACAUUGCCAUGAAUUGAUUUUAGCCAGCCUUGUAUUAUGUACUAUCUGAACAGUUUUUUACUAACACACCAUUCCCUCUUAGAAAGUGAAAGAACUGGACUCUUGGCUUUAAUCAAUGUUCGUUCAGAGAGAAGUGACCGACCUACAACGACUGUCAGGUUUAAACUGGAACAAGAGCUAAGGCCUUCGGUCUCCCUCUCUAGGACCACAUGCUCUACUCUCUGUGGUCAGGCACUGUAGCACUUGAAAAAGUAAGAGGAGCAAAGGGAGCAAGCCUCCCCUGCCUACACAUACAACUACCACGCACUUCUAGCUCAACAAACUCAGCAGCCACUCAGCAUGCGUUGGUGAGUGGUACCACUGUUGGUAUAUCAUCUCAAGAUGGGAUAACCAGAGUGACUUCCUCCCAAGUCUCGGGGAGUUGAUAAGACCUAACCCACAAAGACUGAUGAUAUCUUUAGAGCUUAUCUGUUUGGAGCUAGAGGAAUCUAACUGAAGAUUGGACAAUUCAAAGGCUGGACAACGAGACAAAAAAUUACAGUCUGCUGGGAGGAUGGAAGAGCUCACAGCAGCACUAUGCAGAUAUCUUCAGGACAUCAUGGGAAUUAAGAAACCAUAGGAGACUUCCUGGAAGAACACACAUUUAAGCACAUGCAUGGGGUUUGGGUUUAUACUCAGAGAGAAAAACCGGAAACUGGUUGUAUCAGGAGGGGUUCCAGUGCUAGAUUUCCCUUGCACAGGAUAAGAUGGGGCCACUGGUUGAAAUUGAAGGUACUUCCCAUUCUAAAUACCACUUAGUUACCCAGAUACCCAAGCUAGAAAGGAAAUUAAGUCAAGGGAGAUGACAGAAGGGAGGAAAUAGUUAUAUAUGCCACAAGGAGAGCACAUAGUGGUCAUGCCCACAGGAACGCUGAGCACAGACUUGCCCACACAUCCUGAUCCAUCCCUUAAGCAUCUGCUCUGAAUACAGCCCAUGGCUGGGAGAUACAGAGUCCCAUUAGUAGGAGCAUUAUUAUUUAAGAAAUGGAUGUAAAGAUUUAAGUGAGGGGAGAUAAUGAGUAGUAGCUAGACUUUGAACUUGGUGAAUUUGAACGUGAGAUGGUUUACAAAGAUAUGUGGAAUAGGUAGUUCCUAAUUUGAUCAGGUCUUGAAUAAUCAUUGUGCUGAACACACUUUCCUGAGGAGAGAUGCUCCUAGGCUUUGGUAGGUUUUAAGGAUCUUUGAGGAGAAGCACAUGCCAGCCUGUCUGUAUAAACCCAUUUUUCACUUUCUGAAUAAUAUUAGAUAGGACCUUACCUGCUUUGUUCCCUGACAUCUUCACCUGAGCAUCACAGUAGUGCUGCUAGGAUGUACUAAUACACAUCAGGGUCCUGAGCAUCACAGUAGUGCUGCUAGGAUGUACUAAUACACAUCAGGGUCCAGGUUGGCUGUAGAUAGUGAGCAGCCAUAUUCAAUCAUUAUUGUGUCCCCACCAGGGCCCACCUCUCCUGGUGAUGUGGAAAGACCCAGAGUGGGCAUCUCUUGAUUCCUCUUGGACAAACUGCAACUCAAGUCUUUACUAAAAUUUCCCGUGUAAGGAGAGACUUUUGUUUGAAAGUAGAGGCCACAUUUGCCUACAUUUCCACAAGUUAGACAUGACAAAGAGCAGGGUGUGAGACCAAGAGAAGUCUCCUCCCCCAUUGACUUCUGUAAAAAGAACCUCCUAAAUCUGGAGUUCAGGGUUGGUCUUGGUGAUUUAACCAAGAAAGUGUAUGCCUUUAGCCUCCAUGCCAUGGAAGUUAGACACAGGACUAAUAGGUUCUGCUUGUGCAUUCCGCACCUGACAUAGAACUGAAUGCACUGAUGUGUCUUACCUUACGCCAAGAGACGAGGAUCUCAUUCACUACCUCAACCAGAUUUUUCCAAAGAAGCAUGCAUUGAGUUUAUCACCUGGUCAGGGAGAGUAUUAAUACUUAUCUACCACCAUAAAGUCAUUUUAACCCAUCAAGACCUCUAGAAAUUAUUAAAAGUUUCUUAUGAUUUAGAA